GAAUAAAAGAAUCAUUUUGAUUUUGUUUGAUGAUACAAACUGGAGCAUAUUAUGAUCUGUUUGUUGGAUGAUUUUAACAUAAUGUUUUAACUGAAAAUUGUUUUAUGAAGCUGUGUGUUCACUGUUGGCACAUUGAAUGAUUGGAUAAAUAAUGCUCUAUUGGAUAAAUACGUAAAGUUCAUUGGACAGCUGUGAUUGUGGUGUGGACAGCUAAGAUUGUGUUUUGGACAGCUGAGAUUGUGACUUGGACAGCUGAGAUUGUGGUGUGGACAGCUGAGAUUGGUGUGGACAGCUGAGAUUGUGGUGUUGACAUCUGAUAUUGUGAUUUGGACAGCUGAGAUUGUGACUUGGACAGCUGAGAUUGUGCUGUGGACAGCUAAAAUUGUGGUGUGGAAUAAUGAUAUUGUGGUGUUGACAACAUAUUGUGGUGUGCACAUGUGAUAUUGUGGUGUGAUGGUUUAAAGUAGCAAAGGUAAAGAACGUUUGACAGCUUAGAUUUUGGUGUGGACAGCUGAUAUUGUGGUGUGGACAGCUGAGAUUGUCAUGUGGACUACUUAUAUUGUGGCUUGCAGAGCUGAUAUUGUGGUGUGAUGGUUUAAAGUACUAAAGAUUUAUUCCUUACUACCUUCCUGUCAACUAUAUCUUCCACAGCAUGAUUUAAUCUAGUCCCAAUCAUUGACUCUGGUUACCUCACCAGACGGUCCGUCCACAGAGUCACAAGCAACAGAUACUAAAACUCGGCAAAGUACAUG
rnacentral:lncRNA from 1 species